rnacentral:misc_RNA from 1 species
CGAUCGUGAAGCAAAGAAAUGGGGAAGACCUUCAAAGAUGAAUAUUCAUAUGAUGAAAGACUCACGGAAUCACAGGAUAUAAUUGCCAAAUAUCCUGAUCGUGUGCCGGUGGUGGCUGAAAGAUAUUCAAAAACAGACCUCCCUGAGAUGGAAAAGAAGAAAUACCUGGUACCUCGUGAUAUGUCUGUUGGACAAUUUAUCCACAUUCUGAGUGGCAGGCUGCAUCUGGCUCCUGGAAAAGCUCUCUUCGUGUUUGUGAAUAACACCUUGCCUCAAACAACAAGCUUGAUUGAGACCGUGUAUGAAUCUUCCAAAGAUAAAGAUGGGUUCCUCUACAUGUGCUACAGCAGUGAGAAAACCUUUGGUGGUCACUCUUAGAAAGUGUACAUUGUAAACUGAAUAUAUGGUAUCUGGAUUGCAUGUCUGGCAUGCAUGGUUGUUUAUCCUGUAAAUUCUUGCACAGAGACGUGUAUAUCUGUCAAUUGAAUUCAUGAAUGAAAUUCAAAUGUUAAAUCUAUUGGAUUUCAGACUUGAUGUUGUGAUUGUUGAGUGACAAGGUUAUAGUAAAAUGGCUAUCUUGUAAACCUCCAUUGUGAAGAAUAAAGAAUACAAAGGUUGCAGUAAGUUGAAG